AGAGUUUGAUCCUGGCUCAGAAUCAACGCUGGCGGCGUGCCUCAGACAUGCAAGUCGAACGAUUAAACUUUCCUUCGGGAAAGAUAUAAAGUGGCGCACGGGUGAGUAACACGUAGGUAAUCUACCUUUGAGUGGGGAAUAACAGUCGGAAACGACUGCUAAUACCGCAUAAUGCAGCGGCACCUUAUGGUGACAGUUGUUAAAGGAGCAAUCCGCUUAAAGAGGAGCCUGCGGCAGAUUAGCUAGUUGGUAAGGUAAUGGCUUACCAAGGCUACGAUCUGUAACCGACCUGAGAGGGUGGUCGGUCACACUGACACUGAAUAACGGGUCAGACUCCUACGGGAGGCAGCAGUCGGGAAUUUUGGGCAAUGGGCGAAAGCCUGACCCAGCAACGCCGCGUGAAGGAUGAAGUCUUUCGGGAUGUAAACUUCGUAAGAAUAGGAAGAAUAAAUGACGGUACUAUUUGUAAGGUCCGGCUAACUACGUGCCAGCAGCCGCGGUAAUACGUAGGGACCAAGCGUUGUUCGGAUUUACUGGGCGUAAAGGGCGCGUAGGCGGCGUGACAAGUCACUUGUGAAAUCUCCGAGCUUAACUCGGAACGGUCAAGUGAUACUGUUGUGCUAGAGUACA
rnacentral:rRNA from 1 species